rnacentral:lncRNA from 1 species
UGGUGUGUUUUCCUCUAAACAGUUGGCCAGUGGCUCCUUCACUUAUUGUACAGUUUAUACUUUUCUUGCUGAUUAGCAAUGCCUCUGUUAUUAUUUCUCUCCUUGGGUCUCUGUAACGUUGAUGUUAACGUGAAGCUUUAAAGCCAUUUGACAAAUCUAACCAUUUUCCUUCUCGGUUAGCAACUAUGUGGAAGAUGAAGAGAUGUCAGUUCAAAUGCCAGAAAGAUACUAAAUGAAUCGUUGGCUUUAAAAAAAAAAAAAAUCAAGAAUGCUGUAAGUGUUUUCUAACAUAAUUAUUGCUUAUAUAGAUUUGUGUUGUUAGGUAUUUAAAUUUUUUUAUUGCUGUGUAUCUGGGCUGAAAUGAUAUAUGAUUUUAUAAUCAUAUUUUUCUCAACAAGCCAGUAAUCUUAAUGUAUUAUGUAUAAUAGGUGCAUAAAUGUAUGUAUUACCAUUAUUCAGGAGCUAAAUAUUAUUUAUGAAUUUAUGAA